AAAGAACACUCCUUUUUAUUCCACGGAAACCAUAAUUCCCAAGCCAGUGAGAUUAUCUGUGGUCUUUUCUCUUUAUCCCCUCCUUUUGCCCUUUAGGGGAGAGAAGAGUGUGGAGGGAGGAAUCGGGGAAGCCCAGUGCCGUACUGAUGCUCUGGACUUUGUUUUUGGAGGUAGCCUGUGAUGCAGGGCAGAAAAGAGCUGAUGCCUUGGAGAGAGACUGGGAGAGGCUGGAGUUAAUAGAGGUGCCCACGCACCCAAAGGGCCAGCUCCUGCAUUUUUUCACUUCACCGAUGCCAAAGCCACUUUGCCCACCUUUGCAGCAGACGCAGGGAAUUAACUAUCUCAAGAAGUGGCCCUUAGUUAUUAACUGAUGGCAGCUGGUCCCAGGGUAUCCAAGAAGCUGUCAUCCAGGUCUUCUCCAAUGAAGCUACAACAACCCACAGAGCCAGCAGGGGAACCUACACCUUCGAUGUCAUAUAUGAGCAAACAGUCAUUAGAUGGGCGUCCUUCAUCUUCAUCUGCAUGGACUUAUUUAUAAUUGUGUACUUUGGACAUAAAACCAUACACAAAAAAAUCACAUGAAUUGGUUUCGAGGAGGAGCCAAGAUGGCCGAAUAGGAACAGCUCUGGUCUACAGCUCCCAGCGUGAGCGACGCAGAAGACGGGUGAUUUCUGCAUUUCCAUCUGAGAUGGAGUGAAUAUGAUGAUUCUGUGAAGGUUUAUUGCAACAUGACUUUUUCAGCACAGCAACAGGAAAAUUUGACUCUGGGUCUGUUCUACAAAAUUAAAGUCGUGGGAUGCUCGUGAAUUAAGAAACAACCAAAAAUGCCAAAUAUUGAGACUCUUGAAAUCAAAUUAAGUAUGAUCUGAGAUUAAGAACUUCUGAGAAGAAUUUAAGCAUGAACAUAUAUAUUGACAUGAAGUCCACUUACAAUGAAGAAAGGAGUGACCUCUCGAUCAACUAUGGAUGUUAUAUUAAUUUCACCAGUUUUCUGAUUAAUGACAAAGAUCCCAUAUGGUGGCUGAUCAAUUCCUACUCCAGAGAUGCGGGUCUGUGCUUGCACUGGAGCUACAGAAGGAAACUCUUUGCCCUCUUAAGGAGUUUAUCAAUGUUGUCAUCAUGCAACUUUAAUCUUCAAUUUGUUUUAAAUGUAAAGUUUUCGAAGAAAGUAGAUUUAUUUAGGUGACAAGAGUUAUCUGGGUUUGAGUGGAAGCUCUGAAUUCUGAAAAUGGGAAGGGUGUAUUAGCAGAAAAGGAAGGAGACCACGCGAAUAAAUGGUUAUAGAAACCAGAACUCUUUCUUUGAAAUAAAAUAUUGUUUGGCUGUAAACAAAUCCUAGUGGGGAGUAUUUGUGAGUGUCUGUGUGGAUGAAUGUGUAUAUUCGUGUGUGUAUCUGUGGACGUGUACAUCUGUAUGUUCAUGAAUUUGUGGGGGGUGUUUCUGAGUGUGUGUGUAUGUAGAAAGGAAGAUAUGGAAAAAUGAAUAGAAAAGGGGUAUGAGAGAGGGCACCUUGUGAAUGUUAAUAAACAAACAAAAAAGUAGGAAUUCAAUUCUAAUACAUUGUGAGGCAAAAAGAGCACACAUUGAAGUAAUUCCUUUGAAUGUGCUGAAAGCCAAAUUCUUUAUUAAAAUAAUGAUCUUUUUUCAUCUGGAGUUUGGGAUAACACAUGAUCAUGUGUAUGCAUUUCACCAAUGAGGUGAGUCAACGUUUGCCUGUUUCUCUGAGCACCUGCAUUUCUUAAUUUCUCCUUAUGAGUUUCAGUUUUCAUCAUCUAGGUGACUAUAGUUCUGUUCUGUAUCGUAGCUUCUCGGUGAGACAUGUUCAUGAAAU
rnacentral:lncRNA from 1 species